rnacentral:piRNA from 1 species
UGCCUUUAGCAUUUUUCGUAA